AACCACUGUCCAGUGUCCUCCUCUUCAGUCCCCACUGGCCAGAGCUGAAAUUGUUGAUUCCUCAUUAGAUAUCCUCUCCAGUUUCCAAUUAAGACAUAACACUGUCAUGGAAGAAGCAAUAUCAGCCCAGGAUCCACCAACCCAAGACCCGAACCUAGACUCAAACCCAGUAGACACAGACCCAGCUCCCCCUUCACAUACACCACCACCGCCAGCACCACCGGCGACGGCAGCUGCAGCACCACCGGUGACAGCGGCUGCAGCAUCAACACCACCACCUCCUCCUCCAGUAACUGCUUGUCUCCCUCCCAAAGACAAGAAAAGACCGCUUGAAUUUGAAGGUUAUGUCCAAAUCCAAGACUGCAGCUACUUCAAGAUGCGUGCUGUUCUCAAAGAUAUUCGUCCCCAUUUACUCCAGGUGCUUCAAACAGUGGAUUUUCGGAGUUGCAAAGGAGCUGAUGAACUUCGAGAGAGGUUAAAGCUACUAAUGGAACUUUACAAACAGAUGACUGCUGAAGCAGUCGCCACAACAAAGCCUAAGAAUGCACUUGAAGGGCAGCUCUUGUCAAGUGAAAAUGGGGCUGUGCAAAAACCCCAGGAACAGCUUCAAGAACUUAAGCCAGCAAAUAAGCCUCAAUCUGAUCGACUUCUUGCAAAACCACCUGAAAGUAAUGAGGCUAUAUAUCUUGAGGAGCAAUCAUAUUUUAUAGGUGGAUCUGCUUUUGGCUGGAAUUUUAUUACUUUUUCAGGUAAUAAACCUGUCUACUAUGGGAGAACAAAGGAAUCAUUCCGGGCUGCUCGAGUGGCUUUGUAGGGUAUCAAUGUUUGUUGUUACUUGUUAGUUGAAGGAAAAUAACAAUAGAAUGCUUUGAACCUCC
rnacentral:misc_RNA from 1 species